GGUUUUGGGAGGUUUGGCCAGCUUCUUUACUGCAUCCUGUUUUAUCUGCGGAGUCUGCUGAACUCCUAUCUCACAGCAUUUGCCUCUGAGUACAGCAGAUGUCAACAAGGUUUUGAACUGUUUGCUCUCAGUUCCAUAUUCUUCCUGUCCCCCCAGGAUUCAUUAUAUUCUCACCUGGGCUUCAGUAAACGAAUUUUGCAUGGAGAGUUUCAGAUGAUGUUCAGUGACAAAUUUGUACCUCAGACAACUUGGGAUUCAGAAGAAUAUUUU
rnacentral:lncRNA from 10 species